rnacentral:rRNA from 1 species
GACGAACGCUGGCGGCGUGCCUAAUACAUGCAAGUUGAGCGAUGAAGAUUGGUGCUUGCACCAAUUUGAAGAGCAGCGCACGGGUGAGUAACGCGUGGGGAAUCUGCCUUUGAGCGGGGGACAACAUUUGGAAACGAAUGCUAAUACCGCAUAACAACUUUAAACAUAAGUUUUAAGUUUGAAAGAUGCAAUUGCAUCACUCAAAGAUGAUCCCGCGUUGUAUUAGCUAGUUGGUGAGGUAAAGGCUCACCAAGGCGAUGAUACAUAGCCGACCUGAGAGGGUGAUCGGCCACAUUGGGACUGAGACACGGCCCAAACGCCUACGGGAGGCAGCAGUAGGGAAUCGUCGGCCAUGGACGAAAGUCUGACCGAGCAACGCCGCGUGAGUGAAGAAGGUUUUCGGAUCGUAAAACUCGGUUGGUAGAGAAGAACGUUGGUGAGAGUGGAAAGCUCAUCGAGUGACGGUAACUACCCAGAAAGGGACGGCUAACUACGUG